UGGCAGUCAGAGGCGAUGAAGGGCGUGCUAAUCUGCGAUAAGCGCCGGUAAGGUGAUAUGAACCGUUAUAACCGGCGAUACCCGAAUGGGGAAACCCAGUGUGAUUCGUCACACUAUCAUUAACUGAAUCCAUAGGUUAAUGAGGCGAACCGGGGGAACUGAAACAUCUAAGUACCCCGAGGAAAAGAAAUCAACCGAGAUUCCCCCAGUAGCGGCGAGCGAACGGGGAGGAGCCCAGAGCCUGAAUCAGCAUGUGUGUUAGUGGAAGCGUCUGGAAAGGCGCGCGAUACAGGGUGACAGCCCCGUACACAAAAGCGCAUGUGCUGUGAGCUCGAUGAGUAGGGCGGGACACGUGGUAUCCUGUCUGAAUAUGGGGGGACCAUCCUCCAAGGCUAAAUACUCCUGACUGACCGAUAGUGAACCAGUACCGUGAGGGAAAGGCGAAAAGAACCCCGGCGAGGGGAGUGAAAAAGAACCUGAAACCGUGUACGUAC
rnacentral:rRNA from 1 species